rnacentral:rRNA from 1 species
GAUGAACGCUGGCGGCGUGCCUAAUACAUGCAAGUCGAGCGAACAGAUGAGGAGCUUGCUCCUCUGACUUUAUCGGCGGUCGGGAGCGUAACACGUGGAUAACAUAACUAUCCGAAUGGGAUAAUUUCGGGAAACCGUGGCUAAUACCGGAUAAUAUAUUGACCCGCAUGGUUCAAUCGUUAGAGAAGGUAUUUCUUUCACUUAUAGCCGGCUAAGCGCCGCAUUAGCUAGUUGGUAAGGUAACGGCUUACCAAGGCAAGGAUGCGAAACCGACCUGAGAGGGUGAUCGGCCACACUGGAACUGAGGCACGGCCCAGACUCCUAGGGUAGGACGCAGUAGGGAAUCUUCCGCAAGGGAGGAAAGCCUGACGGAGCAACGCCGCGGGAGUGAUGAAGGUCUACGGAUCGUAAAACGAUGUUAGUAGGGAAGUACAAAUGUGUAAGUAACUAGGAACGUCAUGACGGUACCUAAUCAGAAAGCCACGGCUAACUACGUG